rnacentral:rRNA from 1 species
CGAGAAAUCAAAGUGCUUGGGCUCCAGGGGGAGUAUGGUCGCAAGGCUGAAACUUAAAGGAAUUGAGGGAUUGCCCCAGUAACGGCGAGUGAAGCGGCAACAGCUCAAAUUUGAAAUCCGGCCCCCCGGGGCCCGAGUUGUAAUUUGUAGAGGAUGCUUCUGGCGAGGCGCCGCCUGAGUUCCCUGGAACGGGACGCCACAGAGGGUGAGAGCCCCGUCUGGCUGGACGCCGAGCCUGUGUGAAGCUCCUUCGACGAGUCGAGUAGUUUGGGAAUGCUGCUCAAAACGGGAGGUAUAUGUCUUCUAAAGCUAAAUAUUGGCCAGAGACCGAUAGCGCACAAGUAGAGUGAUCGAAAGAUGAAAAGCACUUUGAAAAGAGGGUUAAACAGUACGUGAAAUUGUUGAAAGGGAAGCGCUUGCGACCAGACUCGGCCGCGGCGGAUCACCCGGCGUUCUCGCCGGUGCACUCCGCCGCGGCCGGGCCAGCAUCGGUUCGCCCCGGGGGAGAAAGGCGUCGGGAAUGUGGCCCCUCCGGGGGUGUUAUAGCCCGGCGCGGAAUACCCUGGGCGCGGACCGAGGACCGCGCGUUUACGCAAGGAUGCUGGCGUAAUGG